GCUUAGCCCUAAACACAGAUAAUUACAUAAACAAAUUAUUUGCCAGAGCACUACCAGCAACAGCUUAAAACUCAAAGGACUUGGCGGCGCUUUAUAUCCUUC
rnacentral:rRNA from 1 species